AUCCCUUCAGAGCCCCCUUUCCCUUUCUCUCCUGCUUUUCAUUGGGCAACCCUUGACUCCCUCCUGCUCGCAUGGUAUAGCUCCUCCCUCUCUGCUACCCAUUGUUUCCCCAUACAGUAUCAGGCUGAGGGGAUGCCAUUCUGGCUCCAGCGAGGGACGUGGGAGACACAGAAGGAGCAUGCGACAGAGCAUCAUCUGGAGAUUCACUGCCAGUAACGUGUGAGGACGGAGUUUGUCAUGGAGGCUUUCGUAAUUUAUGCUUAGAUAUGCACGGACGCAGCACAGGCUCACUGGAGCUCACUGGAGGUGGCCUUUGGUGAAUGAAGAACUUUGCAGCAACUUCACUCUCUGAGCUCGGUGUAACAUCCCACACACUUUCAUGCAAAACACUUUGAAUUUCAGGGGAACAAUUACAUUUUCGAAGUAAAAAGAAAGAGUUGUAGUUUUCGGCUUGCCUCGCUUGGAACAGGUGCGUGUAAAGUGGAAGAGGGGUGGCUCUCCCAGCGCUGGAAAGUUGCAGCACAGCACGGGAAGUUGUGGGGAAAAAGGCAAGGGACGCUGUCUCAAAGCGGCUUUUGUUGCUUGAAUUGGAGACAAGAAUCAGAGACUGACAAAUACCUGGCCCCUACGCAGCCCAAAUACCUCUGUUGCACUUGAUACAAUGUCAAUAAAUGCCUCCUCUGUGGUCCACAGUAGCUCGCUUCCCCUCUGUACACAGCAUUUUUUUUUCCUUCUUGUUUGUACAACGGCUACUGUUCUCUGAGGGAGAAAAUCUGGCCUGGAGUCCCGACUCAAUGAAAACCAAGCACCUAACAACUGCUAACCUCAGCCUCUUUUUGCUUGUAUCUCUGUGACCUGAUCAACAUGGGAUGGGCCCAUCGCAUAAAUGUGCCCGAGACAAGAGUCAAGUGCAUGACA